rnacentral:rRNA from 1 species
UACGAAGGGGGCUAGCGUUGCUCGGAAUCACUGGGCGUAAAGCGCACGUAGGCGGAUUGUUAAGUCAGGGGUGAAAUCCUGGAGCUCAACUCCAGAACUGCCUUUGAUACUGGCGAUCUUGAGUCCGGGAGAGGUGAGUGGAACUGCGAGUGUAGAGGUGAAAUUCGUAGAUAUUCGCAAGAACACCAGUGGUGAAGGCGGCUCACUGGCCCGGUACUGACGCUGAGGUGCGAAAGCGUGGGGAGCAAACAGG